rnacentral:rRNA from 1 species
AUUGAACGCUGGCGGCAUGCCUUACACAUGCAAGUCGAACGGCAGCACGGGAGCAAUCCUGGUGGCGAGUGGCGAACGGGUGAGUAAUGUAUCGGAACGUGCCCAGUAGUGGGGGAUAACUACUCGAAAGAGUGGCUAAUACCGCAUGAGAUCUCUGGAUGAAAGCGGGGGACCGUAAGGCCUCGCGCUACUGGAGCGGCCGAUAUCAGAUUAGGUAGUUGGUAGGGUAAGAGCCUACCAAGCCAACGAUCUGUAGCUGGUCUGAGAGGACGACCAGCCACACUGGGACUGAGACACGGCCCAGACUCCUACGGGAGGCAGCAGUGGGGAAUUUUGGGACAAUGGGCGCAAGCCUGAUCCAGCAAUGCCGCGUGCAGGACGAAGGCCUUCGGGUUGUAAACUGCUUUGUACGGACGAAAAGACCUCUGGUUAAUACCUAGGGUCGAUGACGGUACCGUAAGAAUAAGCACCGGCUAACUACGUGCCAGCAGCCGG